rnacentral:rRNA from 1 species
GUACAGGUGCUGCAUGGCUGUCGUCAGCUCGUGCCGUGAGAUGUUCGGGUUAAGUCCCGCAACGAGCGCAACCCCUACGUUUAGUUGCUAACAGGUGAAGCUGAGCACUCUAGACGAACUGCCGUUGACAAAACGGAGGAAGGUGGGAUGACGUCAAAUCAUCAUGCCCCUUAUGUUCUGGGCUACACACGUGCUACAAUGGCCGGUACAGACGGAGGCGAAGCCGCGAGGCGGAGCAAAUCCGAAAAAGCCGGUCUCAGUUCGGAUUGCAGGCUGCAAUUCGCCUGCAUGAAGUCGGAAUCGCUAGUAAUCGCAGGUCAGCAUACUGCGGUGAAUACGUUCCCGGGCCUU